GUAAUAUAUAUACAGCAGUGUAGGUACCUAACUAAGGCUCUCACAUAAAGUUUGAAAGUGUGUCAUCCGCCGUUGAAAAACGACUGUGUUUCAACUGUGCUUUGUCGAAAACUAUACCAAGUCCAAAAAUAAUUUUAAAAUCAUCAUUCAAUAAUCUCAACGAUUUGGAGUUUAGUUUGAAAGAAUACAAUGAAGUAAAAAAACUAAAGCACAGAACUAAACUGAUUGGGAUUUUUAAAUGUAACGAGAAUUCUAGUAAAUCAUUUAUUUAUUGAAACAGAUUAAAUUACUGAAUAUCAAGAGUACUCAUUGGCUGACUUGCAAUGUAGUCUGGCAAUUGACAAUAACAGAUAUUAUUUAUUAUCCGGAACAGUUUUUUAUGAACAUGAUCAUUAUAUUAUAGCGUAUGUACACCGCGUAAAUAGACGGGAAGUGCACAAAGAUUUGGCAAAAAAAACUAAAAGUUCCUCUAAUUCAACAAAAAUAUAAUCAGAUGUAAUUUUAUAUGUGAAAGAGUAAGAAAAAAUGACACGUACAUUGGUACAAAAGUCAACUAUAGCAAUAAGAGAUGUCUUUUUUUUAAUUAAACAAAAAGGUUAUAUUUUAUUAUUUUUAAAUUUAUAAUAAGCG